CUCAACUGCUGAUGACCUUUGACCUUUGCGACGUUUUGUGCUGUUUGUGUUGUUGAGCUAUGUUAGCAUCAUGGUUAACAUUGCAGGAAAUCAUAAUAACACCAAAGAUUUUCUCACAGGCUGAGUCUGAGCUGUGUUAUUAAAACACUGAAAGUUAUUAUUUGUUAAUUUUUAAGUUAUUAAACUUUUUAUGGAUCGAGUUACUCUGAUGAUGGAUGAGUUCCACGGCUAACUCAGGAUGUGAAGAUGCUAACUGCUAACUGUUGGAGGUCACCUGAACGUCACACAGUGAUGAUGAAGAGGAUGAAGAGGAUGAUGAAGACUGACUGAACGAACUGCAUUAAAACUGAACUACUGAGAUCUCUGCAGCAGCUCGCCAAAACCACAGAGCUUACACAGCCCCGAGGACGACAAGACAGAGAGCGAGGAGCGAGGAGGAGAGGGGCUGCGGCGUGGCUUGGCCGCCUAUCAAGGCGAUCCAAGAAUAAUUUCCAUGAGUGGAGUAGAUCAUUGACUCCACGGAGCCGAGCGCUCAUAUGUGUCUCAUUGAUUCAGAGAAUUCAGACUGUCAAUCCAAAGUCUCUGACGGGGUCAGUGACACGGCAGAAUCUGUCCUACAUGUAAAACCCUGUCAGUCAGAUCGCUGUGGACACUUCAGGAUUCAAGUUACUGCUGAAGUUUAAAGUAAGACAAAAAAAUGUUUGAACAAGACGUUAAAAGGGAUUUCUCUGAACUACUGUCUGCAUCAUUCAUCCCACAUCAGUGUUCCUCUCCUCGUUCUGCACUUCUCUAGUUUUCAUUCCUGCAGACCGUUUCGCUGACACGAAGAUUCCUCUGUUUUUGGCGAUGUCUGUCCGAGACAAAGAUGAAUCUCUGAGUGGAAAAUAGAGUUUCCUUCCCCGGUGGUGAGCAGAUAUUUACCACAAUGAUGAUUAC